GAUGUCCAGUAGAAUUUGGAUUUCAGAUAAACAACUAAUACAAUUUUUGAAGUAUAUCUCAUGCAAGAUUCGGGACAUACUUAUGCUAAAAAAAUUAGUUGUUUAUUUGAGAUGCAAACUCAGCUGGGUGUCUUGCAUUUU
rnacentral:miRNA from 1 species